rnacentral:rRNA from 1 species
CGGGCGACGUGCCGGUCUAAGUCCCUUGGAACGGGGCGUCACAGAGGGUGAGAAUCCCGUAUGUGAUCGGUGACCAAGCCCAUGUGAAACCCCUUCGACGAGUCGAGUUGUUUGGGAAUGCAGCUCAAAACGGGUGGUAAAUUUCAUCUAAAGCUAAAUACCGGCCAGAGACCGAUAGCGCACAAGUAGAGUGAUCGAAAGAUGAAAAGCACUUUGGAAAGAGAGUCAAAAAGUACGUGAAAUUGUUGAAAGGGAAGCGCUUGCGACCAGACCUGCCCGCGGGCGAUCAGCCGUCCUUCUGGGCGGUGCACUCGUCCGCGAUCAGGCCAGCAUCGGUUCGGGCGGCCGGAUAAAGGCUCGGGGAACGUAGCUCCCUUCGGGGAGUGUUAUAACCUCGAGCGCCAUGCGGCCCGCCGGGACCGAGGACCGCGCUUCGGCUAGGAUGUUGGCGUAAUGGUCGUAAGCGGCCCGUCUUGAAACACGGACCAAGGAGUCGACCAACUAUGCGAGUGUUUGGGCGUCAAACCCACACGCGCAAUGAAAGUGAACGGAGGUGGGAACCCCUCGCGGGGCGCACCAUCGACCGAUCCAGAUGUCUUCGGAUGGAUUUGAGUACGAGCAUAGCUGGUCGGACCCGAAAGAUGGUGAACUAUGCCUGAAUAGGGUGAAGCCAGAGGAAACUCUGGUGGAGGCUCGCAGCGGUUCUGACGUGCAAAUCGAUCGUCAAAUUUGGGCAUAGGGGCGAAAGACUAAUCGAACCGUC